rnacentral:rRNA from 1 species
GACGAACGCUGGCGGCGUGCCUAAUACAUGCAAGUGGGACGCAAGGAAACACACUGUGCUUGCACACCGUGUUUUCUUGAGUCGCGAACGGGUGAGUAACGCGUAGGUAACCUGCCUAUUAGCGGGGGAUAACUAUUGGAAACGAUAGCUAAUACCGCAUAAUAUUAAUUAUUGCAUGAUAAUUGAUUGAAAGAUGCAAGCGCAUCACUAGUAGAUGGACCUGCGUUGUAUUAGCUAGUUGGUAAGGUAAGAGCUUACCAAGGCGAAGAUACAUAGCCGACCUGAGAGGGUGAUCGGCCACACUGGGACUGGGACACGGCCCAGACUCCUACGGGGGGCAGCAGUAGGGAAUCUUCGGCAAUGGACGAAAGUCUGACCGAGCAACGCCGCGUGAGUGAAGAAGGUUUUCGGAUCGUAAAGCUCUGUUGUAAGUCAAGAACGUGUGUGAGAGUGGAAAGUUCACACAGUGACGGUAGCUUACCAGAAAGGGACGGCUAACUACGUG